CAGUCCACAAACCCUCUGCAGAGCCGUCUUCUCAGCAGCAGUGCAGCUGCCGUGCCACAUGGUGAUGCAGGUGCAGAGAACGCUCUCCACCACACAAUGAUAGAAGCUCCUCAGAACUGAGUUACCAAGACCAGCUCUCUGCAGCUUUCUGAGGAAGUAGAGACGCUGGCGGGUAUUCCUGACCAGAUGUGACGUGUUGGCACUCCAGCUCGUCAUUCUUGUGCCGGCAGAGUGGAUGAGCCUGUCUGGGCAGCUAGAUUUUUGUUGGGUUUUUUUCCCAUUAGCUCCACCCAGAUACUUGCUAGCUGCUAGGAAGGACUCUGAUAAGCAGGUUUUCACUCAGGAAAACUUGGACAGCUUCUAUGAGAGGUGUUCACUCUGAACUAGAGUGGAGGAGCUUGUUAGUUAUCUAGAUCAACACAGGGCUACUGGGGCAGUGGGGCCGAUCUUAAAUAUCCUUGUUUCUUAAUUAGUGGCUCGCUAAUCACUUAACUUGUUUUUCAGAACUCUCCAUAAAACAAGACGAGGUCCAGAAAUUGUUUCUCUGCUAAUUUAUCUUCAUCAAAUUAAACCGAUGGACCAUCAGGUGGGCAGUUCCCAGUCUGUCAUCAGCUUUGAUAAAUCCCCUGCCAGCACAUUCAAACCAUCCCAUUCA